UGGUGACACAAAGGCGCAAAGCUUUACAUAAAUUCAGAAUUGUCUUCAUUGCAAGGUACCUUCAGGCUUGCAACAUCAAAGAUCCAAUACAGAACAUCGAGUGGACUUCCCCACAAGCAGGAAGGUGGAGGCGGCCAUGGUUACACAAUAUUGCAUACUGAGUCAAAAAGGCUGAAAAAAUAAAGAUGGUAAAGAGUCCAUGAUUACACAUUGUUUUAGUAAUACAACAACACAUGGACAAACUCUAAUUGUCAUGGUGUUAUAUUUUCUUUUUGGAUCAACACAUGGGCAAACUUUGCCUUUUGAAUUAAUUAAUUUUAUAGUAA